CAAACUUUACCUUCGCGGGCAUUUUGAUCCUCCUCAUCUCGGAGUACUCGGACAGCUGUUAUUCAGAGAAAAAAAGAACGUUGGAUCUGCGUAACUGAUCUCCUCUUCACCACCCUGAACUGCUUCUACAACAAUAAUAAGCACAUUAACAACAUAACCAUCCCAUUGAUACGUUACUUUACAAAUAGAGUGAUUGUUUGUUACAGUAGAUGAUAUACUUGUGUGUAUCCUGCGGAUGCAGAAGAUCAGAAGUACAAUCAUCAGAGAUCCAACAACAGCACAACAGAUCACAACUAUAUGUACGGAGAUGUAGAAGAUCAGAAGUGCAGUUACAAUCAUCAGAGAUCCAACAACAACAACACAAUAGAUCACAACGGUCAGACUCGCUUCUGUAAUGAAUAAUAAGUCAGUGUGCUGUAAGUGAAUUUAUCGGUCUUCUGCACAAAUGCCCAAUUAUACAUUUAAAAGAAGA